rnacentral:snRNA from 1 species
AUCACUUCUUGGCCUUUUGGCUAAGAUCAUGUGUAGUAUCUCUUCUUAUCAGUUUAAUAAUAUCUGUAAGUAGAAACGUAGUUUUUGGAAGGCAAGUCUCUGUCCUGUAAUAGAAUCCUAACUUGGGAGAGUGUUCUCUAGCCAGGAAUUUCUU